rnacentral:rRNA from 1 species
UACAGAGGGUGCAAGCGUUGUUCGGAAUUAUUGGGCGUAAAGGGCGCGUAGGCGGUGCCACAAGUCACCUGUGAAAUCUCCGGGCUUAACUCGGAGCCUGCAGGCGAAACUGUGGUGCUGGAGUGUGGGAGAGGUGCGUGGAAUUCCCGGUGUAGCGGUGAAAUACGUAGAUAUCGGGAGGAACACCUGUGGCGAAAGCGGCGCACUGGACCAUAACUGACGCUGGAUGCGCGAAAAGCUAGGGGAGCAAACAGG